rnacentral:rRNA from 1 species
UAGGUGGCAAGCGUUGUCCGGAAUUACUGGGUGUAAAGGGAGCGUAGGCGGGGCGACAAGUUGGAUGUCAAAGGCAUCGGCUCAACCGGUGUAAGCAUUCAAAACUGCCGCUCUUGAGUGGAGUAGAGGUAAGCGGAAUUCCUAGUGUAGCGGUGAAAUGCGUAAAUAUUAGGAGGAACACCAGUGGCGAAGGCGGCUUACUGGGCUUUAACUGACGCUGAGGCUCGAAAGCGUGGGUAGCAAA